GAUGAACGCUGGCGGCGUGCCUAAUACAUGCAAGUCGAGCGAACGGACGAGAAGCUUGCUCCUCUGACGUUAGCGGCGGACGGGUGAGUAACACGUGGAUAACCUACCUAUAAGACUGGGAUAACUUCGGGAAACCGGAGCUAAUACCGGAUAAUAUUUUGAACCGCAUGGUUCAAUAGUGAAAGACGGUUUUGCUGUCACUUAUAGAUGGAUCCGCGCUGCAUUAGCUAGUUGGUAAGGUAACGGCUUACCAAGGCAACGAUGCGUAGCCGACCUGAGAGGGUGAUCGGCCACACUGGAACUGAGACACGGUCCAGACUCCUACGGGAGGCAGCAGUAGGGAAUCUUCCGCAAUGGGCGAAAGCCUGACGGAGCAACGCCGCGUGAGUGAUGAAGGUCUUCGGAUCGUAAAACUCUGUUAUUAGGGAAGAACAAAUGUGUAAGUAACUAUGCACGUCUUGACGGUACCUAAUCAGAAAGCCACGGCUAACUACGUG
rnacentral:rRNA from 1 species